CAAGUCGCGCUCCCCCUCGGCCGCCCCUCCCGCCACGCCGGCCGAGAGCGCCGAGCUGAAUCAGAGCUCGGAGAUGGGCCCUGCCGCCACUGCAUCCGAGGAAGUCGCUUCUACGGUUGAGUCAGAGGCCUAGGAAAUGGGAUUGCUUUCUCUUAUAUCUCCUCUCAAGAUUUCGAUUGGAGCUUGUCAUUCUGCAUCACGUUACCAGCCAGGAUGAGAAAGAAAAGUUUCCCUCUGAAGCUGCUGAAGUUAAGGACAGUGAUAAUUCUUGAUCUUGUCAUUAGCAAGGGGCCCUAGUGGUAACAUUUUAAUAUUCCAUAGAUGAUCGAUGUGUAAGAGUAAGCCAUACAACUUGAUGGUCAAAUCAAUGUUUUCCUCCUUUGGUGUUCUUAGUGUCUCCUGCUUGGGAGUUGAGUGAGGCACAUUUGGUAUAUUUUUAUUGCCAGCAGCUCAUUUUCUUUGACCAAACACCUCUUGUUGCAUCGCAGUCGAUAAACCUGAAGUGACAUUCACACUAAACAGAAUAAGCUUGUUUUCA